CUCACCGUCCCCGCAACGAGCUUUGGGACGCUCUUUAAACGAUCCACCUUUGACUUCAUCAGGACAAGCCUUUGGGUUCGGUGAGAUCUCUCCAAGCUGCGAGAAUGUCCUCUUCGAUCAAAUCUGCUGGCGUCAUCACGUGCAAAGCUGCGGUGGCAUGGGGACCAGAGCAACCACUGGUGCUGGAGGAGGUGGAGGUCGACCCGCCGAAGGCGUCGGAGAUCCGCGUGAAGGUGGCCUGCACUUCCCUCUGCCGCAGCGACCUCACCCAGUGGCAAUCUCAGGCGCAGCCCGAUCUUUUCCCUCGCAUCUUCGGCCACGAGGCUUCCGGGAUUGUGGAGAGUGUAGGAGAGGGCGUGACGGAGUUCAAGGAGGGGGAUCAUGUGCUCACGGUGUUCAUCGGAGAAUGCCAGAGCUGCAAACACUGCACGUCUGGGAAGAGUAACAUGUGCCAGAAGCUGGGGUUAGAGAGGAGGGGCGUCAUGCACAGCGACCAGAAGACUCGGUUCCGGGUGAACGGGAGGCCUAUUUACCAUUACUGCGCCGUGUCGAGCUUCAGCGAGUACACGGUGGUGCACUCUGGUUGUGCCGUCAAGAUUAGCCCCAGCGUGAGGAUGGAUAGGGCAUGCCUUCUUAGUUGCGGCGUGGCUGCAGGCAUCGGAGCUGCUUGGAAUGUUGCUGAUAUAUCAAAAGGUUCAACUGUAGUAAUUUUUGGUCUUGGCACUGUUGGCCUUUCAGUAGCACAAGCUGCCAAAUCAAGAGGGGCUUCUCGGAUAAUCGGAGUGGACAUAAAUCCAGAAAAAUAUGAAAAAGGAAAGGCUUUUGGUGUAACCGAAUAUAUCAAUCCGGAUGAGUGCAAAGAGCCUAUUCAGCAGGUUAUUAAACAGAUCACUGAUGGAGGGGCAGAUUAUUCUUUUGAAUGUGUUGGCGACACUAGUAUAGUAUCAACAGCCUUACAAUCAUGCUGUGAUGGUUGGGGAAUGACUGUGACUCUAGGUGUACCAAAAACCAACCCUGUGGUUUCAACUCAUUAUGCUUUUCUUCUCAUGGGAAGAACUUUGAAGGGUUCUUUAUUUGGAGGAUGGAAACCAAAGUCUGAGCUUCCAUCGUUAGUCGACAAAUAUAUGAAAGGCGUAAGUUUCUGAUAUCAUUUAAGGAAAAGUUUCAGGAGCAAGGUUAUCUUACUAGUUGGUAAUGUGUUUCUUUUACCAAGGAAAUCCAAUUGGACGAAUUUGUUACACAUGAUAUAAUGUUUGCAAAUAUUAAUGAGGCAUUCAGCCUGAUGAGAGAAGGGAAAUGCUUGCGUUGUGUGAUUCACAUGCCAAAGUAAUUGUCGGUAUGAUAGUAUGCAGGUAUGUCUCAAUCCUUUAGGUAUCCAUUUGUUUUAAUUUUCCAAUAACUCCAAGUCAUCGAUCUGUGUGAUUCAUAUGCUGAUGAACUAGUCAUCUUGUUGUUCAUCAUAUUUCUCUUUUCUACUUGAAGUUGUUCUUGUCUGGUAAAAAGUAUCUCUUGUUGCAACAUUAUUCAAUGAUUCCCCUUCAAAUUAUCCUCAUAACCUGAUUCUGCCUCCUGGUUUUGUCAUUUGUAAAUUAAGCUGGUAAUGCCUAUCUCCAAUCUGGAAUGGGAAAUAAUUGCCGUCUUUCACAGUGGAUUUAGUUCUGGUAAA